rnacentral:rRNA from 1 species
UACGUAGGGGGCUAGCGUUGUCCGGAAUCAUUGGGCGUAAAGAGCGUGUAGGCGGCUAGGUAGGUCUGCUGUGAAAACUCGAGGCUCAACCUCGAGACGUCGGCGGAAACCAUCUGGCUAGAGUCCGGAAGAGGAGAGUGGAAUUCCUGGUGUAGCGGUAAAAUGCGCAGAUAUCAGGAAGAACACCCGUGGCGAAGGCGGCUCUCUGGGACGGUACUGACGCUGAGACGCGAAAGCGUGGGGAGCGAACAGG